rnacentral:rRNA from 1 species
UCCUGGUGGCGAGUGGCGAACGGGUGAGUAAUAUAUCGGAACGUGCCCAGUCGUGGGGGAUAACGCAGCGAAAGCUGUGCUAAUACCGCAUACGAUCUCAGGAUGAAAGCGGGGGACUCGCAAGGGCCUCGCGCGAUUGGAGCGGCCGAUAUCAGAUUAGCUAGUUGGUGGGGUAAAAGCCCACCAAGGCGACGAUCUGUAGCUGGUCUGAGAGGACGACCAGCCACACUGGAACUGAGACACGGUCCAGACUCCUACGGGAGGCAGCAGUGGGGAAUUUUGGACAAUGGGCGCAAGCCUGAUCCAGCAAUGCCGCGUGCAGGAUGAAGGCCUUCGGGUUGUAAACUGCUUUUGUACGGAACGAAACGGUCUGCCUUAAUACGGUGGGCUAAUGACGGUACCGUAAGAAUAAGCACCGGCUAACUACGUGCCAGCAGCCGCGGUAAUACGUAGGGUGCGAGCGUUAAUCGGAAUUACUGGGCGUAAAGCGUGCGCAGGCGGUUAUAUAAGACAGAUGUGAAAUCCCCGGGCUCAACCUGGGACCUGCAUUUGUGACUGUAUAGCUAGAGUACGGUAGAGGGGGAUGGAAUUCCGCGUGUAGCAGUGAAAUGCGUAGAUAUGCGGAGGAACACCGAUGGCGAAGGCAAUCCCCUGGACCUGUACUGACGCUCAUGCACGAAAGCGUGGGGAGCAAACAGGAUUAGAUACCCUGGUAGUCCACGCCCUAAACGAUGUCAACUGGUUGUUGGGUCUUCACUGACUCAGUAACGAAGCUAACGCG